AUUGAACGCUGGCGGCAGGCCUAACACAUGCAAGUCGAACGGUAGCACAGAGAGCUUGCUCUCGGGUGACGAGUGGCGGACGGGUGAGUAAUGUCUGGGAAACUGCCCGAUGGAGGGGGAUAACUACUGGAAACGGUAGCUAAUACCGCAUAACGUCGCAAGACCAAAGUGGGGGACCUUCGGGCCUCACACCAUCGGAUGUGCCCAGAUGGGAUUAGCUAGUAGGUGGGGUAAUGGCUCACCUAGGCGACGAUCCCUAGCUGGUAUGAGAGGAUGACCAGCCACACUGGAACUGAGACACGGUCCAGACUCCUACGGGAGGCAGCAGUGGGGAAUAUUGCACAAUGGGCGCAAGCCUGAUGCAGCCAUGCCGUGUGUAUGAAGAAGGCCUUCGGGUUGUAAAGUACUUUCAGCGGGGAGGAAGGCGGUGAAGUUAAUAGCUUCACCGAUUGACGUUACCCGCAGAAGAAGCACCGGCUAACUCCGUGCCAGCAGCCGCAGUAA
rnacentral:rRNA from 1 species